CCUACGGGAUGCAGCAGUGAGGAAUAUUGGUCAAUGGGCGGAAGCCUGAACCAGCCAAGUAGCGUGCAGGAUGACGGCCCUACGGGUUGUAAACUGCUUUUAUACGGGAAUAACGCGUCUUACGUGUAGGGCUUUUCAUUUACCUUAUGCAUAAGGACCGGCUAAUUCCGUUCCAGCAGCCGCGGUAAUACGGAAGGUCCGGUGGUUAUCGGGAUUUAUUUUGUUUAAAGGGAGCGUAGGCCGCAUGUCAAGCGUGCUGUGAAAUGUCCGGGCUCAACCCGGGCCUUGCAGCGCGAACUGGCGUGCUUGAGUCCGCGGAAAGCAGGAGGAAUUCGUCGUGUAGCGGUGAAAUGCUUAGAUAUGACGAAGAACCCCGAUUGCGAAGGCAGCUUGCUGCAGCGGAACUGACGCUGAUGCUCGAAAGCGCGGGUAUCGAACAGGAUUAGAUACCCCAGUAGC
rnacentral:rRNA from 1 species